GUCUACAGCCAUACCACCCUGAACACGCCAGAUCUCGUCAGAUCUCGGAAGCUAAGCAGGGUCGGGCCUGGUUAGUACUUGCAUGGGAGACAAAGAGGACCAAGUAGGCUAGACU
rnacentral:rRNA from 1 species